rnacentral:ncRNA from 2 species
UACAUAUCAUGUGACUGACGGAAGUGGAGUUAACCACGGGGAGCAUGAAGAAUAUAGCCGACCGUCUGGGCGAUGUAU